rnacentral:ncRNA from 2 species
UUAAUACCCUGGGGGAGGCUGUUGCUAAUCUCGUUUAUGGCAGCGGCAGUCUGAGAUUCCUGUUGAACAGGUGACCCCUUGAACCUGAAACGGGUAAUUCCGGCGGAGGGAACGGGCUGAUUCCAUUUU